GACAGAGGAUGCAAGCGUUAUCCGGAAUGAUUGGGCGUAAAGCGUCUGUAGGUGGCUUUUUAAGUCCGCCGUCAAAUCCCAGGGCUCAACCCUGGACAGGCGGUGGAAACUACCAAGCUGGAGUACUGCAGGGGAGACUGGAAUUCCUGGUGUAGCGGUGAAAUGCGCAGAUAUCAGGAGGAACACCGAUGGCGAAAGGCAGGUCUCUGGGCCACUACUGACGCUGAGAAGCGAAAGCAUGGGGAGCGAACAG
rnacentral:rRNA from 1 species